UAAUACGUAGGGGGCAAGCGUUGUUCGGAAUUACUGGGCGUAAAGGGCGCGUAGGCGGUACGACAAGUCUGGAGUGAAAGCCCGGGGCUCAACCCCGGAAUGUCUUUGGAAACUGUCUAACUUGAGUGCGGAAGAGGCAUCUGGAAUUCCCAGUGUAGCGGUGAAAUGCGUAGAUAUUGGGAA
rnacentral:rRNA from 1 species